rnacentral:misc_RNA from 1 species
UCGUGUUCCUGCCCUCUGGGUAGAAACCCCCACCCUGUGUUUAUACCUAUCUCUGUUUCCUUGGCGGGCCGCCCUAGGGCGCUGGCUCCGGCCGGAUCGCGCUCGUCGGGGACACCACAACUCUGUAUACAAGUCUGUCUGAGUACUAUAUCAAUAGUUA